ACGUCUCCGGCUGUCUGGGUCAGCCUGAUCCUGUCCCAUUGUGUGUUCCUGGAAGGUUGCAUUUAGAUUGUGACCCUGAUUUUAUGCUGUGUCCACAGAAUGGGGUCUUUAUGACGGAACCAGUCAAGGAAGGCACUGUACACUCUGAGCAAAUAAUGGAGAAAUCACUCUAAUUGCUUACUCGAUUGAGGUGUUAAAUCAAAAUCAACAACUGUGCCACCCGCAACUUUCCUUGAAUUCAGAACUUAAGAAAAAAAAUGAAUUUCUAGACCAUAGGGUCAAGAGCAUAGAUCUUGGUGAAUCAAUGGGCAAUUUAGUUCUGAAUUAAGAGUACAUAUCGACCAUUUGUACUGCCAAUGAUUUAUUUUCAAAGAGUUCCAUAGAAGGCAUUUCUAGUUGCCUGAUUGUAUAUUUCCUCCAAAGAUUGCCUUGCUAAUUACCAUCAGUGAGUAAUAGGGAUUGCCAAAAAAAUAAAAUAAAAAUAAAAAUAAAAAAAAUUAUUGUAUCCCAAAGGAAUGGUACUGCCAAGUGUCUUGAUGGGCUCCUGCUAUACUUAACAAACAGCUGUGCCUGGGAGUGAAAUUCUGAAGUUGGAUUGUCUCUUAACUGCAAUUAGAAUAGGCUUAAUUGAGGGUGUCUGCAGUGGAGUCCAGUUUCAAACUCUUAUAUACAGAAUUCAUGCCUUUCUUACGCAGAACAAAGUAUUCUACUGACCACCACUAAAUCACAUUGUUUUGUUUUCUCCUUCCCUUCUACAAAAUCGAGUGUGAUCCACAAUUUGGAAGCAGAAAGGAAACACAAAGAAAACUGUGAUGAUGUGAAAGAAAGCAAAGAGUGCUUGUAUAAUUGCUUCACUUAAGUAUCUUAAAUAUUUAAAUAUCUGGUUUACGCAAUGGCGAGUUGUUCAUCUAAUUAUAGGUAUGCAUGCCCUCUGUGGUCUCAGAAAGUGACCCUUAGAUGCAAGACAGAAUAAAGACUCUACUCAUUGCCUGCUUCACUCAUGCGUGGAGCAAGCGUUGCUGCCAGUCACUCACUGAGCAGCGGGGAUAGAAUAGGCAGAAUGGAGCCAACCACAAAUUCUCUGUCUUCUUUGAACUCACACUGUGAAGAGCAAGGAAGUGAGCAACAUAGAUAUAAAGAGAACACAAUUUCACUUUGAAGUGAGGGAUUUCGGCCUGUGUGUUGUAGAUACAUGAAGGAGUGGCUUGAAAAGAUUCAACAAAGG
rnacentral:lncRNA from 1 species